UCACGUUUUAUCUCGUGAGCCCAGCCUUUUUUUCGAGCACUGCCCUCUGGCUGGGGUGAUCAGUUAAGCAUGGCUGGAGCAUGAGUGACGGCGCCCAGGAGUCGGCACUGCUACACUGGAGUUUCUGUAAAUAUGGAUGAACGUGAUUAACGGGCCGGGGAGGAGGGUCUUAUAACAGAGGAAAUGAGCUCCGCUUACAACAGCUGGAGGUGGCAUUUGCUCCUUUUAUGAAGUGUUUUUCUUUUGCAUUUAAUAAAGUUUCUCUCCUUAUCUUA